UACGUAGGGGGCAAGCGUUGUCCGGAUUUAUUGGGCGUAAAGAGCGUGUAGGCGGCUUGGUAGGUCCGCUGUGAAAACUCGAGGCUCAACCUCGAGAUGUCGGCGGAAACCACUUGGCUAGAGUCCGGAAGAGGAGAGUGGAAUUCCUGGUGUAGCGGUGAAAUGCGCAGAUAUCAGGAAGAACACCAAUGGCGAAGGCAGCUCUCUGGGACGGUACUGACGCUGAUGCGCGAAAGCGUGGGGAGCAAACGGG
rnacentral:rRNA from 1 species